AAUCCCAAAUUCCACCAUGAUUAUUUAAAUUUAAUAGCUUACCACUCAAAGAAAAGGAAGCCAAUGACCAGUGCAUGAGAUUAUCACUGAAGCUCUUUGAUGGCGCCUUUGCAUAUCUGCAGUCAUAUCAAAAUUAGGUUGGUCCAUGUAAAACUUUUUUUUUUAAAAUCAAUUAUAAUGAUAAAUCUUUGUAGUUACUAUGCCAAGUUUGGUAUCCAUAAAUUAAUUAUGCAGUAAUGGUUGCUGCAUAAGAUAAGUCUCACUCAUUUUUGCCUGCCAACUGAAAAUAAAUUUAGAAUCGCAAUAAUUCAUAAUGACGAAUGUCGUUGACGGUGAUUCUAUAUUAGGGAUGCAGAAUUAAUGGUUAAAUUGAGCACGCUGAAAACUGAAGAUAAAUUUGCUCAACUUUCUUUUAUCUUUUUCGAACCAUGAGAACUUAGCUAGUACUCCUCGGUGACCAGACAUUCGACUGUCAUUCUGAAGCACCUCAUAAUCACGAUGGUGGUUUAUCAGCAAUCAAUCUUGUUGUGGCUAAUAUUUAUUUCAAUGCCUUUAUAAAAACUAAGUGGCAUUGCAACAACUAAGGGUGAAACAGUACCUAGCACCUUUGCUAUCUCCUGCGAUGUACCAAGUGAGAAAGCUUCUAGCUUGAAAAAGAAUAACCAAAUUAAGAAUCUCAGGCAAAAAAGAACCAAAAAGAAAAAUGCAAUUACACAUUUUAACUUAGAGAUUAUUGGCUAAUCUUUAGGUUGAUGGACAAAGCAAAGAGAGUACACAUUAUCUAAAAAAAUGACAUUUGAAAAAAAUACUGAUUUUUAUUCUAUAUGUUCUGCAGUAGAAUUACAGAGUAUUUAUAUAUAAGUUUACAAGAGCAAAUAUUCACAAAACAAGCGAAAGUAAAUAACGAUCCCAUAUUCAAAGGGAUUACAAAUCAGCCACAUAUAAGAAAAUAAUCUCUCUCAAUUAGUCAAGUGAAGCCAACGAAAUCUUAACACUCCCCCUCAAGUUGGAGCAUGUAUAUCUAGCAUGUUCAACUUGGUUGUUAGCCUCUUAAACACCUUUCCUCCAAGAGCUUUUGUAAAAAUGUCUGCCAACUGUAAAUGAGAUGGAACAAAUUUGGUGAUUAUCUGACCAUCUUGUAUUUUCUCCCUUACCACAUGACAGUCAAGAUCUAUGUGUUUGGUGCGUUCAUGAUAUACCGGAUUUGCUGCUAUGUGAAGAGCAGCUUGGUUAUCACAUAAUAGCCUUGCUGGUCCUAUGGAAAUUUGCAUAUCAUUGAAUAAAAAUCUAAGCCAAGUGAGCUCACAGGUUGCUGCUGCCAUGGACCUGUACUCAGCUUCUGAUGAUGAUCUUGAGACUGUUUUCUGUUUCUUUACUUUCCAAGAAAUCAAAGAAUCCCCUAAGAACACACAAUAACCUAUUGUUGAACUUCUUGUUAUAGGACAGUUUGCCCAAUUAGCAUCACAGUAAGCCUUUAAAGUAAAGGAAUUGCUUGAGGAGAAUAACAAACCUAAACCAGGGCUGCCCUUUAAAUAUUUAAUAAUACGAAGAGCAGUAUCCCAGUGAGGCUUUCUUGGAGCAUGCAUAAAUUGGCUUAAGAUGUUAACUGAGUAUGUAAUGUCUGGUCUCGUAAUUGUGAGAUAUAUUAGUUGGCCAAGUAAUCUCCUGUAGCGAGUUGGAUUAUGCAGCAGAUCACCUUGAUGGUUUGUGAGCUUCAAAUUCAUCUCCAUGGGAAAAUUUACCGGUUGAGCACCCAAGUAUCCAACAUCAUCUAUGAUUUCUAAGGUAUAUUUUCGUUGAGAGAUAACAAGACCUGCUUUGGACCUUGCAACUUCCAGCCCAAGAAAAUAUUUAAGAAGACCGAGAUCUUUGAUAUGAAAUUGCUGGUGAAGAAAUUGUUUGAGAUUAUAUAUAGCGACUGCAUCAUUUCCAGUUAUCACCAUAUCAUCUACAUAAAUAAGAACCAUAGUUAUAGAUGUGCCUUUUGUCUUCACAAACAACGAGUAGUCUGAAUGUGAUUGAAUAAAGCCAGCUUUCUUGACGGCAUGAGAAAAUUUUACAAACCAAUUGCGAGGAGCUUGUUUAAGCCCAUAAAGGGACUUAUGAAGUUGACAAACAAGCUUCUCCCCCUGUCGACAAAGUCCCGGCGGUGAAGUCAUAUAUACUUCUUCUUCUAAAUCACCAUGCAAAAAAUCGUUGGUCACAUCCAUUUGAUACAAUGGCCAAUGUCUUACAGCAACCACAACAAGUAAACAACGAACAGUGAUCAAUUUAGCCACAGGAGCAAAUGUCUCAGUGUAAUCCAGGCCUUCUUGUUGAGAAAAUCCUUUGGCGACUAAUCGAGCUUUGUAACGUUCAAUCGUACCAUUAGAAUUGUAUUUGAUACGAUAAACCCAUUUGCUGCCAAUGGGACGAUGACCAGCAGGUAAAGGGACCAAGGACCAUGUCUUCUGUGAAUUGAGAGCAUCAAGUUCACGUUGCAUAGCCUCUUUCCAUUUUGGAUCCAAUACAGCCUGAGCAUAAGAGGUUGGUUCUAGGACACUUGAAAUGGUGUUAACAAAGUGUUUAUGAGUAGAAGACAAAGAAUCAUAGGAAAUGUAUUGGCUUAAAGGAUAUUGAGUACCUGACUUAGUUGAAAAUGACUGACUUGAAGUUGCAGUUGAUGGUGUUGUACUAAUCUGUCCACAAUGAAAGUCACGAAGGAGAACAGAUGGUUGCCUGACACGGUCACUUUUACGAAUAGGAGGGGUAGGAGAAGAUAUAGAGGAAGAAGGGGAAGAAGUUGAUGACAAUAAAAGAUUAGGAGAGGGAAUAAUGGUCUUUGAUGCUGGAGGGACAGGAUGAGUUGUAGGAGGAGAUAUAUCAUCGAUGUAAUCUGAUAUCUUAGGCUGAGGAAAAGUGCUAUCUAAUGAUUUUUCGAUAUGAAGAAAAGGAAAAAUAGACUCAUGAAAAAUGACAUCACGACUGGAAAAGAAUUGGUGAGUAUGGAGAUCAUAUAACCGAUAGGCUUUUUGGCCUAUAGGGUAACCAACAAAGAUGCAUUGUCGAGCCCGAGAAUCAAACUUAUUGGAUGGCUGUAGAUUUGUUGCAUAACAGAGACAUCCAAAAACUCGUAAAUGAGUGUAGUUAGGUGGCUUAUUAUACAACAACUCAUAUGGAGAUUUAUAUUGUAACAAGGGAGUGGGAAGACGAUUUAUAAGAUAGGCUGCAGUAAGUAAACUCUCCCCCUAAAAUUUUAAAGGAAGAUUGGCAUCAAUUCUCAAAGCCCGACUAACGUUUAAGAGAUGAUGGUGUUUUCGUUCAACGACACCAUUUUGUUGAGGUGUAGAUGGACAUGAGCUUUGAAAUAAAAUACCAAGGGUGGAGAAAUAAGGUUUCAUGGAAAGAAAUUCUGAGCCAUCAUCACUUCUAAGACAUUUAACUUGGCAAUUAAAUUGAGUGUUCACAAAAGAAAUAAAUGUUUUUAUUAAUCCUUGGGUUUCGGAUUUAAAUUUCAUUAAAAAAAUCCAAGUGAAACGAGUGUAAUCAUCAACUAUAGUCAGGAAAUAAUGUACCCCUGUAUGGUUGCAGUACGAAAAGGUCCCCAAAUAUCACAAUGAAUAAGAUCAAAUGAAUGCAAAGUUUGAAUAGAACUUGAAGAAAAUGGUAAACGAGUUUGCUUUGCCAAAGGGCAAGUUUCACAGGAAUGUUGAGAAUCAAAUACAAAUGCAGGAAUAUUAUUGCUUAAAAAUUGUGAAGGUGCUUUUGAGGGAUGUCCUAACCGCUUGUGCCAAGUAAUAUGUGUAGUAGAAUCAGCAUGAUGAGUGAUUGAAAAAGAAGUUGGUGUAGACUUCACUUGAGGAACAAAGUAGUACAAGCCAUUAAGCUGCUUCCCCAAGCCAAUCAUCUUCUUCGAAGCUAGGUCCUGCAAUAUACAGAAAGUGGGAAAAAAAUGGAUUGAACAAUUCAUGGCAGCAGUAAGUUGACUCACUGAAAGUAAAUUAACAUGAAAUGAUGGUGCACAUAAUACAUUAUUAACAUGUAGGUGGUUUGAGAGUUGUGUUAAACCAAUUCCAGUUAUCUUAGAAUAGGCACCAUUAGGCAAGGUUACUUGAGAUGACAGAGGAGUUUGAAUAGGUAUUGAAGUUGCUAUGUGAUUUGUUGCACCACUAUCAAUAAUCCAGUGAUUCAAGUCUGUCUUUUGCGUAUUGAAAGAUGAACAGAAAGGUAUAGGGAUACCUGUGUAGUUUGCUCGAGCAGGAUUGUUACCAUUUCUAAAGAAAGCUUUUAUUUGGGCAAGCUCUUCAGAGGUAAAUUGAGGAGUUUGUUCAGUUGGCGUCUUUGCUAAGUUCUGAUUCAUUUCAGCACUAGGUUGAUGCACAACAGGUUUUCUGCUUCGAUUUGGAGGUUGAACGUCUUUGGCAUGAAGCUUAUGACCAACUGGGAAUCCAUUCAAGUAGUAACAACGAUCUACUGAAUGAGUUGUGUCCUCACAGUAAGUACAAAAGAAAGAUUUCUUCAUUCCUUGUGGCUUGGGAUGAGAGGAUGAUCCUUGUUUGGUUUGUUGUUGUGCAUCAAAUUGUGUUUCUCUGGAUUUAUCAUGAGCUUUGAUACUCAUGGCAUGAAUGAGAUCAAUGCCUUUGGCUUCAGUAAGUCAUCGUUGCUUUUCUUCCUCACGGAGAAGAGAAUAUGCCUUUUUGACAGUUGGUAGAGGAUACAUUAACAUUAUUUGUCCUCGCAAAGCUGAGUAUGUUUCAUUCAAUCCCAUGAGGAAUUGUCCCAGCCUAAUCUUUUCUUCUUUUUCUUUCAAGUCUUUUUGUCCUCCACAGGUGCAUGUGAUUGAAGGACUGCAAGUAGUUAGCUCAUCCCACAACAUUUUUAUCUUUGUGUAAUAAGAAAAAAUUGAAUCUUGAUUUUGUUUCAAUUCAACAAUAAAUUGCUGAGUUUGAUAAUGGUGGGAAAAAUCACCUCGAGAGAAACGUUCUUGAAGGUCAGUCCAAAUCUCUGAGGGUGUCUCUAAAUAGAGUACACUAUUUAGAGAGUUGAGGAUCCAAGAAAGCACCAUAUCGUUGCAGCGCUGCCAUAAAGAAUGUUUUGGAUCAUCUUCAUCUGGUGUGUGAAUGGUUCCUUUAGCAGACUGCUAUCACUAUCAAUAUCAAUAUCAUCCAUAAAAAAAUAGAAGCGGAAGUGUUUUACCGAAUCAAAACCAUUUCUCUGAUACCAUGAAAAAAUGACAUUUGAAAAGAAUAUUGAUUUUUAUUCUAUAUGUUCUGCAGUAGAAUUACAGAGUAUUUAUAUAUAAGUUUACAAGAGCAAAUAUUCACAAAACAAGGGAAAGUAAAUAACGAUCCCAUAUUCAAAGGGAUUACAAAUCAGCCACAUAUAAGGAAAUAAUCUCUCUCAAUUAGUCAAGUGAAGCCAACGAAAUCUUAACAUUAUCUUUAGUUCAUUUUAACUCAUGAUACGGCCUUGCAACAGCAUCCUAAGAAGUUAACAAUGGCCAUAGAAUAAAUAACACUAACUUGUAGUUGUAGUGCACUUCUACAUUACUAGCACAUAUAAUCUUUGUACCUCUAAUA
rnacentral:lncRNA from 1 species